UUACGACCACAUCAAGUUGAAAAACUGGUUCCCAUAGGAUCACUGAAGUUAAACAACGUCGAAACUGGUCAGUAUCUAGAUGGGUGUUUGUUUGGGAAUACCAGGUGCUGUAAG